AACGCACAUUGCGCCCCUUGGUAUUCCGAGGGGCAUGCCUGUUCGAGCGUCAUUAUGACCACUCAAGCCUGGCUUGGUGUUGGGGUCCGCGGUCUCGCGGCCCUUAAAAUCAGUGGCGGCGCCAUCUGGCUCUAAGCGUAGUAAUACUUCUCGCUAUAGAGUCUUGGUGGAUGCUUGCCAUCAACCCCCAAUCUCACGGUUGACCUCGGAUCAGGUAGGGAUACCCGCUGAACUUAA
rnacentral:misc_RNA from 2 species